rnacentral:rRNA from 1 species
UUCGUGUGAACAGUGGUUGAUCACGAGUUAGUCGGUCCUAAGUUCAAGGCGAAAGCCGAAAAUUUUCAAGUAAGAAAUAAUACAAAUAUAUAUAUAUAUGUAUAUUUUCUACACUUGAAUAAUUUUGAACGAAAGGGAAUACGGUUCCAAUUCCGUAACCUGUUGAGUAUCCGUUUGUUAUUAAAUAUGGGCCUCGUGCUCAUCCUGGCAACAGGAACGACCAUAAAGAAGCCGUCGAGAGAUAUCGGAAGAGUUUUCUUUUCUGUUUUAUAGCCGUACUACCAUGGAAGUCUUUCGCAGAGAGAUAUGGUAGAUGGGCUAGAAGAGCAUGACAUAUACUGUUGUGUCGAUAUUUUCUCCUCGGACCUUGAAAAUUUAUGGUGGGGAUACGCAAACUUCUCAACAGGCCGUACCAAUAUCCGCAGCUGGUCUCCAAGGUGAAGAGUCUCUAGUCGAUAGAAUA